CCUACGGGUGGCUGCAGUAAGGAAUAUUGGGCAAUGGAGGCAACUCUGACCCAGCCAUGCCGCGUGAAGGAUGACGGCCCUAUGGGUUGUAAACUUCUUUUAUACGGGAAUAAACCCGGGUACGUGUACCCGGCUGAAUGUACCGUAAGAAUAAGGAUCGGCUAACUCCGUGCCAGCAGCCGCGGUAAUACGGAGGAUCCCGGAGUUAUCCGGAUUAAUUGGGUUGAAGGGGUACGUGUACGUCAGCGGUGAAAUCCUACAGCUUAACUGUAGAACUGCCGUUGAUACUGCAAGUCUUGAGUACAUUUGAUGUGGGCGGAAUGUGUCAUGUAGCGGUGAAAUGCUUAGAUAUGACACGGAACACCGAUUGCGAAGGCAGCUCACAAAACUGUAACUGACGCUGAGGCACGACAGCGUGGGGAUCAAACAGGAUUAGAUACCCGGGUAGUC
rnacentral:rRNA from 1 species